rnacentral:rRNA from 1 species
UACAGAGGGUGCAAGCGUUAAUCGGAAUUACUGGGCGUAAAGCGUGCGUAGACGGUAGCGUAAGUCGGGUGUGAAAGCCCCGGGCUCAACCUGGGAAUUGCAUUCGAGACUGCUCUGCUAGGGUGCGGAAGAGGGAAGCGGAAUUUCCGGUGUAGCGGUGAAAUGCGUAGAUAUCGGAAGGAACACCAGUGGCGAAAGCGGCUUCCUGGUCCAGCACAGACGUUCAGGCACGAAAGCGUGGGGAGCAAACAGG